rnacentral:rRNA from 1 species
AAAUUGAAGAGUUUGAUCAUGGCUCAGAUUGAACGCUGGCGGCAGGCCUAACACAUGCAAGUCGAACGGUAACAGGAAGCAGCUUGCUGUUUCGCUGACGAGUGGCGGACGGGUGAGUAAUGUCUGGGAAACUGCCUGAUGGAGGGGGAUAACUACUGGAAACGGUAGCUAAUACCGCAUAACGUCGCAAGACCAAAGAGGGGGACCUUCGGGCCUCUUGCCAUCGGAUGUGCCCAGAUGGGAUUAGCUAGUAGGUGGGGUAACGGCUCACCUAGG